rnacentral:rRNA from 1 species
ACAGCAGCCGCCGCGGGAACACGUAGGUGGCAAGCGUUGUCCGGAAUUACUGGGCGUAAAGGGCUCGCAGGCGGUUUCUUAAGUCUGAUGUGAAAGCCCCCGGCUCAACCGGGGAGGGUCAUUGGAAACUGGGAAACUUGAGUGCAGAAGAGGAGAGUGGAAUUCCACGUGUAGCGGUGAAAUGCGUAGAGAUGUGGAGGAACACCAGUGGCGAAGGCGACUCUCUGGUCUGUAACUGACGCUGAGGAGCGAAAGCGUGGGGAGCGAACAGGAUUAGAUACCCGAGUAGUCCCUGUCUCUUAUAC